rnacentral:misc_RNA from 1 species
AUUCUUUUUCCCAGAAUCAGAAGUAGUCAUAGUAACAUCCUUGAAAAAUUUGAGAUCAGAAGGCAAUCUCCAUGGUAGCUUCCCAUCCUUGCCAAUACCCAUAUCACCAGCCACAACAACUUGAUAAGUUCUUUGAGGAGCAGGCUGUAUAUUGGCAUUGCCAUUAGAAAGAUUUGCCUUGGAGUCACCAGCCAUAAUUGAAAAGAAAGCCCAACAGAAAUUUCUUGAACUUUUGUGGAAGUGCAAUAGAACUGAUCUAAGACUUAAUCGAGAAAUCUUGAGAUCGGAAAAUGUCCAACUAGACUUGAAAAGGGAAAAUCAAAACGAACAGAGCAAGUGUGGAGCAAAGUUCGCCUUCUAAAACUAGGGUUUUCGGUGAUAAAAACAAGAGUGGAUUGUGAGAUGAAAGCAAGUAGAGUAGAGUAUAGAGUAGAAG